UAGGGAAUAUUGCACAAUGGACGAAAGUCUGAUGCAGCAACGCCGCGUGUGCGAUGAAGGCCUUCGGGUUGUAAAGCACUUUUCUGAGGGAAGAGGAAGGACGGUACCUCAGGAAUAAGUCUCGGCUAACUACGUGCCAGCAGCCGCGGUAACACGUAGGAGGCAAGCGUUAAUCGGAAUUACUGGGCGUAAAGCGUGCGUAGGUGGUUAGAUUAGUUGGGUGUGAAAGCCCCGGGCUCAACCUGGGAACUGCAUUCAAUACUGUCUAGCUAGAGUAUGGUAGAGGGAAGUGGAAUUCUGCAUGUAGCGGUGAAAUGCGUAGAGAUGCAGAGGAACACCAGUGGCGAAGGCGACUUCCUGGACCAAUACUGACGCUGAGGUACGAAAGCGUGGGGAGCAAACA
rnacentral:rRNA from 1 species